GACGAACGCUGGCGGCGUGCCUAAUACAUGCAAGUUGAGCGAUGAAGAUUGGUGCUUGCACCAAUUUGAAGAGCAGCGAACGGGUGAGUAACGCGUGGGGAAUCUGCCUUUGAGCGGGGGACAACAUUUGGAAACGAAUGCUAAUACCGCAUAACAACUUUAAACAUAAGUUUUAAGUUUGAAAGAUGCAAUUGCAUCACUCAAAGAUGAUCCCGCGUUGUAUUAGCUAGUUGGUGAGGUAAAGGCUCACCAAGGCGAUGAUACAUAGCCGACCUGAGAGGAUGAUCGGCCACAUUGGGACGGAGACACGGCCCAAACGCCUACGGGAGGCAGCAGUAGGGAAUCUUCGGCAAUGGACGAAAGUCUGACCGAGCAACGCCGCGUGAGUGAAGAAGGUUUUCGGAUCGUAAAACUCUGUUGGUAGAGAAGAACGUUGGUGAGAGUGGAAAGCUCAUCAAGUGACGGUAACUACCCAGAAAGGGACGGCUAACUACGUG
rnacentral:rRNA from 1 species